UACAGAGGGUGCAAGCGUUGUUCGGAAUUAUUGGGCGUAAAGGGCGCGUAGGCGGCUGUACAAGUCAAAGGUGAAAUCCCUCGGCUCAACUGAGGAACUGCCUUUGAAACUGUACGGCUUGAGGCCGGGAGGGGGUAGCGGAAUUCCCAAUGUAGCGGUGAAAUGCGUAGAUAUUGGGAGGAACACCAGUGGCGAAGGCGGCUACCUGGACCGGUUCUGACGCUGAUGCGCGAAAGCGUGGGUAGCAAACAGG
rnacentral:rRNA from 1 species